UCCUGGUUAGCUCAGUUAAUAGAACGCUCCACUGGAAAUCGAGAGGUCCCUAGUUUGAUACCAGGACCAGGUU
rnacentral:tRNA from 1 species